UUGUCUGACAAACCACACUAGUAAUUUUGUGGGAAGAGUUUCACACACCUUCCCCCCUGGAUACCUGGCCCCUGUGAAAUAAUGCAUGUGGAUAUGAAGUCAUCACCAGUCCCCUGACCUGAAGAGGCACUGGGGGGAGGGGCUGGCCGGUGCUGUUCAGUGACACCCAGACCAUCUGUGGCACAGGGAGCCUCAGGAAGAGAUGAGAUAGACUAACUCCUGGUGGUUUUCCUGGAACUAGAGAAACAGGAGCACAGAGCCAGCUACAUCUGUCCUCUGUUCUAACCUUAAGUGAUUCGUAGAAAAGGCAGGUCCCAGUUUUGAGUCAUUAGAUGCCAAAGAGCAGACAGCCUUUGCGCUCUGAAAAGAGUGAGACACUCAGUGCCCCUUUGCUGGAGUUGCUCAGAAGUUCGGCAGAAGAAAUCUGGUCCCACAGAGAACAAUUUGCCUCAUAAAACCCAAAUGAAGAAACUUCAAUGACAGACUACUUAUGGAAGUCUGAAGAAGGCCCCGGGUAACCAGCAACAAUGCAAAUCCAUUCCCUCUCAGGAGGAAGAAGAGACAAGACCCAGCCUCAGCCUACAGUCCCUCUGCAGAUAGAGACAGCCAGAGCAUCAUCCCCAAAUAUCUGGGUCCUGGUUGAAGACAUUGCACGGAUUCCUGUGAGCUCUAUCCCUGGACACUGACUUGCUGAUAUACACCAUGCUGACAUAGGUUCAGGGAGGUGGCGUCAGAACCCAAGGAAUCCCUGAAGCCCCACCUGAGACCUUCCCUACCUAGUAGUGAAUGUCAGAGGAAAGCUGCCCUGGAGAAGACUGACUGCAGCUGCAGAGUUUACACACUGGUGAACUCCACCCUGCCAGGUGCAGGGCCACUUCAGAGCCCACCAGCCGAGCCUCCCAGGUGACCCCUCUGUCACCUUCUGCUGAAGAGAGAAUGACUCUGUCAGCCUUGAGGCUUGGGUCCCAGUGAGAACAGAGCUACCCACCAGCCUGAUGCUCUUCAGGGAGCUGUCCAAUGAGAAACAAGCACUUGUGGAUUCUUUCAUUAUUUAUUUUAUGUGUAUGAA